rnacentral:rRNA from 1 species
UUUUCCGGUUGAUCCUGCCGGAGGUCACUGCUAUUGGAGUUCGAUUAAGCCAUGCGAGUCGAUAGUUCCUCGUGAACUAGGCGGACUGCUCAGUAACACGUGGGUAAUCUAACCUCAGGUCAGGGAUAACCCCGGGAAACUGGGAAUAAUACCUGAUAGGUGAAGUGGUCUGGGAUGAUACUUCGCUUAAAGCUACAGCGCCCGAGGAUGAGCCUGCGGCCGAUUAGGUUGUUGGCGGUGUAAUGGACCACCAAGCCUUUGAUCGGUACGGGUGGUGAGAGCCAUAGCCCGGAGAUGGGGGCUGAGACACGGCCCCAGGCCCUACGGGGCGCAGCAGGCGCGAAAACUACGCAAUGCGCGAAAGCGUGACGUGGGAACUCCAAGUGCCUUGCCUUAGGGUAAGGCUUUUGUUUAGUAUAAGUAGCUAAAUGAAUAAGGGCGGGGUAAGACCGGUGCCAGCCGCCGCGGUAACACCGGCCGCCCAAGUGGUGACCGCUUUUAUUGGGCCUAAAGCGUUCGUAGCCGGUUUAGUAUGUCUUUGGGUAAAUCCUUCGGUUCAACCGAAGGAAUUCCGGAGAAACUGCUAGACUUGGAGUUGGGAGAAGUCAGAGGUACCUCUAGGGUAGGGGUGAAAUCCUAUAAUCCUGGGGGGACCACCAGUGGCGAAGGCGUCUGACUAGCGCAAGCUCGACGGUGAGGGACGAAAGCCAGGGGCGCGAACGGGAUUAGAUACCCCGGUAGUCCUGGCCGUAAACGCUGCGCGCUAGGUGUUGCAUGCUCUACGAGGGCGUGCAGUGCCGAAGAGAAGUUGAUAAGCGUGCCGCCUGGGAAGUAUUACCGCAAGGUAGAAACUUAAAGGAAUUGGCGGGGGAGCACCACAAGGGGUGGAGUCUGCGGUUCAAUUGGAUUCAACGCCGGGA